GACGAACGCUGGCGGCGUGCUUAACACAUGCAAGUCGAACGGAAAGGCCCUGCUUUUGUGGGGUGCUCGAGUGGCGAACGGGUGAGUAACACGUGAGUAACCUGCCCUUGACUUUGGGAUAACUUCAGGAAACGGGGGCUAAUACCGGAUAGGAGCUCCUGCUGCAUGGUGGGGGUUGGAAAGUUUCGGCGGUUGGGGAUGGACUCGCGGCUUAUCAGCUUGUUGGUGGGGUAGUGGCUUACCAAGGCUUUGACGGGUAGCCGGCCUGAGAGGGUGACCGGCCACAUUGGGACUGAGAUACGGCCCAGACUCCUACGGGAGGCAGAAGUGGGGAAUAUUGCACAAUGGGCGGAAGCCUGAUGCAGCAACGCCGCGUGCGGGAUGACGGCCUUCGGGUUGUAAACCGCUUUCGCCUGUGACGAAGCGUGAGUGACGGUAAUGGGUAAAGAAGCACCGGCUAACUACGUG
rnacentral:rRNA from 1 species